AAACCCUAUUCCCCCAAAUUUCCCAAUCCACGUUCCCUAUUUCCUUGAAACCGCUCCACUGCUUCACAUAUCGUUGUUGACGAGCAGGAGGAGGAACCACCAGCUUCACCGCGUCCCCAGCUCCUCCACAGCUUCGUCGAGUCUUCAUCGCUUCAAAGCCUCCUCAGUUCCUCAUCGCUACCCUCGGAUCUCUUCCUUCAUCGAUGUCCUCGAGCUCCAUCUUUGUUCGUCGUUCCAGCUCGCUUUCUACUCGCCAAAAAUCUCCAUUUGCACUGGGUUUUCUUCCUCAGGGAAGGGGAUCUUGAUUUCUCUACGGCUCUGGACUUGAUUCAAUACCGAUCUUGGAUUUGGCUUAAGGCAAAGGUUAAAGGUCCUUUCUUCUCGCUGUUGAAUGGUAGCAAUAGGAAGCAAAAAGCUCCUCUUUUCUUUGCGUUGCUAGGUUCUGGACCUCUGGUAGUUCUUAGUUUUUUGUUCUGUUUGAGUAUCAGAUUCUGUUUGAGUAUCAGAUUAUUGAUUAUUUACUGGUUUAGAAUUAGAGCAGCACAUUUCAACAAAGGUCCCUCAUGGUGUAAGACAAGGAAUUAAAGCAUGAAUUGAAGGUUAUUACUUGAAUAACAUUAUGCUUCAACAAGUGACUCUUUUGAUACAGGAGGUAUGUGAAGGGAAGGGUUAGGUAUCUCUAAGAGAACCUUAAGAAGUAAAGGCUUGGAUUUCUGCAAAGGCAGUUGCAUGUUGCAUGGAAAUUGAUAAUAUCACGUACAGAAGGUGAACCAUACUUCUUUACAUUUGGAAAAUCAGAGGGGGACUCACUCCUUGCUGCUCUUCCAAUGACAGUUUCUCUUUUAUGUUCUUAAUUUUCUGAUGUUGGAAAGGCUUAUAUGAGCAAAUUGGCAUGACAGGUUUUUGGUGCUCUUAUCAUUGAAAAGCUUCUUUCUGUUCCUACCAUGCCCAUGUACCAGUAGUAUAGAACAUUUGAGCCAAAGUCUAUGAGGUCUCAUCACCAAUUUCUAUAUGUUUUCCAAUUUCUAUAUGUUUUCUUUUGUUUAUAUCGAUGUUGAUUCUCACCUCUUCAUCAUCCUCUCAUCCUCUCAAGCAUUCAAAUUAAUUGUUGGAGGUAAAGAUGGCUAGGUGGUGAAGCUUUCAGAAGAAUACAUGCUUUGGGCUCAAAAAAUUCUGUUUCAAUUCAAUUACACCCUCUGUGAGUCCAAUUAAAGUCUCCUGUAGAAACAACGUCUUUUUACUUUUAUGAACCUUGUGCAUUUCAGUUUUUCUUUUGAUCUACUCCAUGUCAGAAUCAUAUGUAACAAUUACAAGUAGUCUUGUUUACAAUAAAAAUUCAUCUUUGAUUGUUUUACCAAAUUCAUUACAUAACGGAACGUAGUCUGCAACCUUUUCUUUGAUGUUCAUCUUUGAUGGUUUCCUUUGCUUGACAU